rnacentral:rRNA from 1 species
AUGAGCCACCUCCAAACAGGCAUCUCUCCUCUCCCUGCUUCGCUUCGUCCGUUGUCGCCUCGCAUUGUUGCUUCCCCGGCACCCAGGUCACCGCUGCACCCCCGCCUUGCCCGGCCUCUCCUACGGCCCUGGCCUCCCGCUCUUCACUCCUCUGCCCAGCGGCGGGAAGUAGCAGACGUUGGAGUCCUCACUGGUGAUUCAGACUUUGUCAUCGGGACAGAUGAAGCAAAGAAAACAGAUGACAUCACUGAACUGAACAUUGCAGAGGAUUUUGAUAACCGACCUUCAAAAAGGGCAACACCGUCCGCUCGUGCACCGCCGGCUUCGCUGGACCUCCGUAAUCCCGUGCUCUGCCCUUCACUGGAGCUCUGUCUCGCCGUGCUUCACCUGAGGGUUGAUGUGGUAUAUUCUUCUGACUUAUCUUCUGAUUCUUGGAUCAAGGAGAUGAACCAAAUUGUCAAGUUUUUUGUCAGAAGAAACUAA